CAAUCCUGGUGGCGAGUGGCGAACGGUGAGUAAUGUAUCGGAACGUACCUUUCAGUGGGGAGUAACGUAGCGAAAGUUACGCUAAUACCGCAUAUUCUGUGAGCAGGAAAGCAGGGGAUCGCAAGACCUUGCGCUGAUUGAGCGGCCGAUAUCAGAUUAGCUAGUUGGUGAGGUAAAGGCUCACCAAGGCGACGAUCUGUAGCGGGUCUGAGAGGAUGAUCCGCCACACUGGAACUGAGACACGGUCCAGACUCCUACGGGAGGCAGCAGUGGGGAAGUUUUGGACAAUGGGCGCAAGCCUGAUCCAGCCAUGCCGCGUGAGUGAAGAAGGCCUUCGGGUUGUAAAGCUCUUUCAGCCGGGAAGAAAACGCAUGGGUUAAUACCCUGUGUGGAUGACGGUACCGGAAUAAGAAGCACCGGCUAACUACGUG
rnacentral:rRNA from 1 species